AAGUAUGUUGACAGGUAAACGUGUUAGCAGGUAUACAUGUUGACAGGUAAACGUGUUAGCAGGUAAACAUGUUGACAGGUAAACGUGUUGACAGGUAAACAUGUUGGCAGGUAAACAUGUUGGCAGGUAAUCAUGUUUGCAGGUAAACGUGUUGGCAGGUAAGCAUGUUGGCAGGUAAACGCGUUUGCAGGUAAGUAUGUUGGCAGGUAAACAUGUUGGCAGGUAAACGUGUUUGCAGGUAAACAUGUUUGCAGGUAAACGUGUUUGCAGGUAAACGUGUUGGCAGGUAAACAUGUUGGCAGGUAAAUGUGUUUGCAGGUAAGCGUGUUUGCAGGUAAUCAUGUUGGCAGGUAAAUGUGUUUGCAGGUAAGCGUGUUUGCAGGUAAACGUGUUGGCAGGUAAGCAUGUUGGCAGGUAAAUGUGUUUGCAGGUAAGCAUGUUUGCAGGUAAGUAUGUUGGCAGGUAAACAUGUUGGCAGGUAAACGUGUUUGCAGGUAAGCAUGUUUGCAGGUAAACGCGUUUGCAGGUAAGUAUGUUGGCAGGUAAACAUGU